GACGAACGCUGGCGGCGUGCCUAACACAUGCAAGUCGAACGGAAAGGCCCUGCUUUUGUGGGGUUCCCGAGUGGCGAACGGGUGUGUAACCUGUGAGUAUCCUUCCCUUGACUUUGUGACAUCUUCAGGAAACCGGUGCUAAUACCGGAUAGGAGCUCCUGCUGCAUGGUGGGGGUUGGAAAGCACCGGCGGUUGGGGAUGGACGGUGGGGUUAUCAGCUUGUUGGUGGGGUAGUGGCCUACCAAGGCAUCGGUGGGUAGCCGGCCUGAGAGGGUGACCGGCGACAUGGGGACUGAGGGACGGCCCAGAGGCGAACGGGGGGCAGCAGUGGGGAAUAUUGCACAGUGGGCGGAAGCGUGAUGCGGAGACGCCGGGUGCGGAAUGAAGGCUUUGGGGUGGUAAAGGGCAUUAGCCUGUGACGAAGCGUGAGUGACGGUAAUAGGUGAAGAAGCACCGGCUAACUACGUG
rnacentral:rRNA from 1 species